CUGGCUCAGGAUGAACGCUGGCGGCGUGCCUAAUACAUGCAAGUCGAACGGAAAUUAUCGCUGAAGUGGGUUACUCAAUUCUUGAUAAAUUUAGUGGCGGACGGGUGAGUAACGCGUGGGUAACCUGCCUUACACUGGGGGACAACAGUUGGAAACGACUGCUAAUACCGCAUAAGCGCACAGAAUCGCAUGAUUCAGUGUGAAAAACUCCGGUGGUGUAAGAUGGACCCGCGUCUGAUUAGCUAGUUGGUGAGGUAACGGCCCACCAAGGCGACGAUCAGUAGCCGGCCUGAGAGGGUGAACGGCCACAUUGGGACUGAGACACGGCCCAAACUCCUACGGGAGGCAGCAGUAGGGAAUAUUGCACAAUGGGGGAAACCCUGAUUGCAGCAACGCCGCGUGAGUGAAGAAGUAUUUCGGUAUGUAAAGCUCUAUCAGCAGGGAAGAAAAUGACGGUACCUGACUAAGAAGCCCCGGCUAACUACGUGCCAGCCGCGGC
rnacentral:rRNA from 1 species